rnacentral:rRNA from 1 species
AUUGAACGCUGGCGGCAUGCCUUACACAUGCAAGUCGAACGGCAGCACGGGAGCAAUCCUGGUGGCGAGUGGCGCACGGGUGAGUAAUACAUCGGAACGUGCCCAGCAGUGGGGGAUAAUCCGGCGAAAGCCGGACUAAUACCGCAUACGACCUACGGGUGCAAGAGGGGGAUCGCAAGACCUCGCGCUAUCGGAGCGGCCGAUGUCAGAUUAGCUAGUUGGUGGGGUAAAGGCCUACCAAGGCGACUAUCUGUAGCUGGUCUGAGAGGACGACCAGCCACACUGGGACUGAGACACGGCCCAGACUCCUACGGGAGGCAGCAGUGGGGAAUUUUGGACAAUGGGCGCAAGCCUGAUCCAGCCAUGCCGCGUGCGGGAAGAAGGCCUUCGGGUUGUAAACCGCUUUUGUCAGGGAAGAAACGCUCCGGGCUAAUACCACGGAGUAAUGACGGUACCUGAAGAAUAAGCACCGGCUAACUACGUG